UAUGUUUGUGUGUGUUUUCAUAGAUGACGCGAUGUGCGUUGAUAUUUAUAAAUAGACAUGUUUAUUAAUGGGCUAUUUAAGUGUUCGUUAUUUGACAAGUAUGCGGAUGAAUUUGUAUAUCUUUAUUAUCUGUGGAGUGUUGAGCAUGUUUUAGUGGAUCUAGUGUCAUUUGAAGAUAGUAAUUUUGGACCUACCUAAUUUCUGAUGUUUUCUUUGCAGAGGGGCUUAAGCCCAAAUGAGUAGAUCGCCAUACACUUCGACUGAGAUAUAGUUUUUACAGCUCGACUGAAGAACUCGAGGAAAUCAUUCAUUGUAAAAGUAUUGCUCAAGUACCUUCUUGAUAUCAAAUUCAUCUUCAGCAAAUAUGAAACCUGUCCUUUAUUUGAUUCUGCUGUCACAACUUGUCCCAAAAGGCACGACAGAAGCAGGAUGUUCAGCAGAUGGUGAGACGCUGUUUUGCAAAUUUUCACAAGACCUCAACUCAACACAAAGUGAUUUUGUAGUCAGCUUUUAUCCAGACGAUGGCGGUGAAGGUUAACUGAUUUUUAAAUGAUUGUAUAAUUCAUGUGUUCAUGUAUAACAGUUUUUGUAAAUUUUUGUAGUCAUUAUUGUUUCAAGUUGUAUUCACUUAACGUUGAUUUCUGUUUUCUCUUUUAAUUUUUAGCUAUUUGGAACGUCAAAUCUUUACCAAUAGCAAAUAAUAACAACAUAAUGAAAUUAUUUUUUUUCCUGUAUGUAUAUUAUUGUUAGUAGUGACAGUUCUUAAAGAGAUAUGAGGAAAACGUUACCUUUGACGGAAAGAAUUCCACAUAUGCUGUGUUUAUAGUGAUAAAAAUUUAAGGAACAGAUGUACCUACAAAUCAAACUAAUGAGUCUUCCUCUUUGGUGGAAUUUUUUUCUUUUUGAUGAUUUAUAUAUUUUUACUUUGAUUUUUUAUUUCAUUUUGAAAUCUAGUGUUUAUAACUUUAAGCACUUACAGUUCAAAUUACUAAUUUUUGCUAUUGGUCUCUUUUUUCAAAAGCAGGAUUUUUUUUCAGGUUAUUGUUAAUGAAUUGGUGUAAGUGCACAUCUACCUCGUUAUCUGGUUUAUGCCAUGAUUAAUCCAAAAAUUUGAGCAUAAAUGAAGGGACAUAUAUAGAUAUACACAUUAUUUUAUUAUUAAGAAUAGAUUUGCAUAAAGCAAGUGUUAGAUGGUUAAACGUUUUUACAUCAAAUUGUUUCGGUCUCAUGAAAUAGGAAAUUUAAAAUCUUCUCUCACAUAACUUUUAUCAAGAAUUUUGCUUUAAAGAAGAGUAAUCUAUUUAGUUAAAUAAUCUUUCUUGUUUAUUUAGGAAAAAGUCAUGUCAACUUAUGUCAGGCUGUUGUAUUAUCUAUUUCUUGGGUAUUCAGGUUUUUUGUUAAACUCUUAACGACAUGAACUGUUCCAGCUUGCUUUCUUUCAAAGUUAUGAUUAUCAGAAACUACAAAUGACCCGUGAGUGUUACAGAAGUUUGUAAACACUAUUGAUCAGAUUUGGGUUUUAUCUGUACUCUCUACAGUCUACAUAAUGAAUUCUAAAAUAUUAAAACUGCUUUAUUAGUCAAUUCUAAUGCAAAUUUAAUGUAACUGAUUAGGUCACGUCCUUGGCGAAAAAAGAUUAAAAAAUGUUUGUGCUCUAGAUUUUCUGUGGAAAUGAACGGAGUCGUUUGUUUUAACGAACAUAUCUUGGAAGUGCUUAAACAUCAGCUUAUUCUUCUACAUUUUCUGUAAGGAGCCACUGCUGGACUGUGCAUGGAUCAAGUCAGAUAUUCAUUGUAUCAAUCAGAAGGGAGUAGCUCCCCAAACACCGGUGUCAAACACCGUUGCCAUCACAAUACCCACGACUUUUCUAAACGGAAAUGGAAGUUACAAGUGUGUACCUGAAGGUUUUACACACAACAGCAUUAAUGAGUGUCGAUUUCGAGGUCAAAAUCAUGUCAAAGGGAGAAUGGAAAGCCUGAACAAUGAAGAAAACAAUUUUAAUGGAUCACCCUUGACUGACUCUGCAGUGCUUGUGUGGCAUCUCUCUUUUGUAAUGGCUUCGGUGUCUUCAGCGACUUCUGCAUUUCUUUUGUGAAGAAAGAUAAACAGUAACAGAUGUUUUGGUUAACAGCAGAAUCCAUGUAUUGCAAACUGCUUCGUGAGAAAGUAGGAGUCGGCUUUGAAGAAAGUUUCGCAAGGCAUCGGUAAUGUUAAGUUGUCACAUCCGCAAAAUUCACGAGAGUCAGAAAUGUUUAAAUUUUUUUUCCAAGUGUGCCACUCAUAAGGAUAUUACUCUACGAAAGUCCAACUUUUAGAACCUAAGCGAUUCUAACUUUAUGGACUUAAAUGUAUAUAUGUGAAAUAAUAUUUGUCGAGUUAAGCCGAUUUUUUUACCACUGACAUAGAAAGUGGAAAAAUAUGCAAAAGAUAACUAUGUAAAUUAAAAAGAAAAUAAAUAAUAGGUCUACUUUUCUUAAAACUCAGAGAACGGCUUAGACACACACAAGUUAGCCUACCUAUGGAAAGAUUUGAAUUCACGCCCUCAUUCAAAUUUGCAUAAAAUGUCUUGCAUUUAUUUAUUAGUCUAUUAUUCAUUAGAAAACAACCAAUGUUCAAAAUUAUUAUUUAUUUAUCUUUUUAACUUUUCAUUACAGAUUUUUUUUCUUUUUGUUUAGUAUGCAUUUUGUUUUUGAACAAUAAAGUUUAAAAAGCGAUAAGCUGUUUAAUUUUUUCUGAGAUGUGUUUGUUAAGUACCGAUGUUGCAUUUAUUUACAAAAAUAGCUUGUCUAGACCGAGAUAUGCAUGUGUAAGUGUUUACUUGGUAAUGAAUUUGUAUUUUGUCUUGUAUGACAAAACCGUGUUACCCGCUGUUUGCGAGAUGGACUAAGUACAUCUGCCGAAGAGAUUCGCUAAUUUCAAGGCUAACUUUCUAAACUAUUUCCUUUUAAACUGGUAGCAGUGUAUUUCUCUACAGCAUAGACUUUUUCAAUUAUUUUUUUUCGAAAUGCAUAAAAUGCAUAUCUUCAUAUUUAUUUUAACUUUCUACUUCUUGCACACACAUAGCUAUUCACUGUCAGUUAUUUGUUAUUAAUAUAUUGAGUCUAGCGAUUGUUGUUGUAAAGCUACAGAGGGACAAUAAAUAGUUGAAACCUUUUUUCCAAAGGUUUUUGCGAGAGGAAAUGCUUUACGAUAGGAAAAGUUCACUGGCGUCGCUAUAUGGGGCACGUGAGAAAUCAUCCGACGCUGUGACUAGAAGAUAUGUGUAGUAAUCAAGAGGAAAAGGAAAGACAGUGAUUUUCCUGUUUGUUUGGUUUUUUUUAGAGUAGUCUUCCUUCGAGGAAUUUUUUGUUCCCUUUAAAUAGCCUUACACUACCAACAGUGAAAUGUCAACAGGAAAAUUUGAAUUUGUACUUCUAUUAUUUAAAUCAUGCGCUCACUAUUUUUGAGUCCUAUUUUCCACCCAGAUGUAAAUGUAAACGUCGCUGCCAGCCAUUAGAAUUUUCCAGAAAAACUCGAUAUCUUACGACUUAUAACGGGAGCAAAGAAAAAGAAUCUUAAUACCAUAUAGUUGUUGUCACUAUCUCGUAACUAAACAAAUAUUUAACGAUCUUUGGAAUGGUAAUACAUAUGAAACCUUGGUCAAGGUCAAAGACUCACCAGUCAAACAGACAGGAAAUAAUAAAAUAUCCGAUAUCAAAUUUGAUCCCUGAACACCUUGCAAACGCAGCUGUUGCUCAUCAAGUCGACAAGAAAAAAUGCUGCUGGGGAACAGGCGUGAUUUUGAGUGGGAAAACCCUCGACAUGUCAAGUAAAAUUCUUCCUUUGUUACUGAAAGCUUCAGAAAAUCCUUUAAAGAAAAAGAUAAUGCAUUGCUCUUAGCUCCUCAAGCCUUCAUUAAUAUAAAUUAUUUAAAUAAUUAAUAAAAACUUACGCUUGGUUUAUGCAAAUAACUUGUUUGUUAGUGCAAAUUUUAUUAGUUUCUUAUUAGAAUGUUAUCGAUUUUUAUAUGCUGUGUGUGAUCACGUAAAAUAAGUAGGGUAUGGAACUUUUAUGCUUGUAAUGUAUUAUAUGUAUUAUAAUCACGAACACAAGCACAUAAAUAAUAUAAGUACUCAAAAUCAACAGUACAUAUGCUAAAAGCAUACACGCAACUUUCACGUAUCGUACAUUUGUUGUGAUCAUGUCAGGUCCAAAGGGGAAGGAAGGCCAGUCCCAUCUCGAUGGCCAGUUUUACUAUUUGCGGGUUGUUUUAUUUUACACUAUCUUUAAAUCAGUUUUCUGUUUUAGGGUAAGUGUCUUUAUCCUGUUUUUCCCUGUUUCCUUUGUUUGAUUAGCCGUCACCUGCCUCUGGCUGAGCAAGUGACUGAUGCUUGCAGGGAACCCUUGACAGUGGAAGUGUUUCUUGACCUCUGUUGACACCGUACAAGUUUGGUGUGUAGUGGGGGCUUAUCGGUGUUAAAGUUCUGAGAAGGGGAAAGCUACGUGAUUCAUGUCCUGUUCGGCCAGCUCAAGAACAUGGGAAAAGUCAUUUUCCUUGUUCUCGGUUUUCGAGAACGAAAACAAAGAGGUCAACAGUCAUACAAAUGAACUCGAGCGACUCAUGUUAACUUCAGUGAGGCAGGCCGUAGAGCAUGUGCAUUAAUUACACAUUUCUAGUAAAAGGAGCUGUCCUAUUAGACGCAGCUAGCACUAUCGACAAUUAGACCACAGGUGACAAUAAUGAUUUGUAACAGCUCUUUGUCACUUUGAGCGUUUCGCUGGUGUGUAUAAAGGAAAUAACAGGCUGUGUGGAUCGGCUCUCCUUAAUAUUGCUACGCUUAUAUUUUGUUGUCGAUCGUCGAUUUGGAUAGAAAUUGUGGACCUUCAUGUUUACAUGGGCUUCUGCUGCAUUUUCUUUCUCUUCUGGUUUGCAACAGAACUGUGUAAGCGGCUAAGACAACAAUGACUACGUAAAAUAAAGCCCCUUCCUCUGCUUGUAACCGCGAGUCCCACAGCUGUGCGAUGUGUUGUCGUAACCACAGUAGUGUCUGAGGUUGUAGUUUUGUGCGAAAAUGAAUACAUAAGGGAGAAAACGCCGGAACCUUUAGGAAUUGUUCCACUAUUGAUUGCUUCCCUUUAACACAUGAAUAAAAGUCAUCCGAUCUGGUAUUUCAUUAUGUUUGAAAGUAGGCGAAGGUUUAGGCGACACGCACCAUGUCGAAGUCGGUUGCCAGUUGCUCAAUUCAACAUGGAUUUGUACUCAAAGAACUGAGAAUAAGAAGAAAACAGUAAGUAGUAUUUAAAUUCUAAUGUAUAUUCUAAUAACAUUCAUGCUUGUUUGGUAUUUUAUGUGUGUAGAUAUUAUAUAUUUUUUUUAUUAAUAUCUAAGUUGUGACCUACUUCCUGCGAUCGCGGGAACUCGCUCGAAUGGUUGAUUUAAGUAGAGCGCGAAAGACACGAUAAUCGACAAGAACUAAAGCCGUCUGGGUCUGCCUUAGCACAGGUAGGUAACAGCAACAAAAUUACUAAGCGUUAGUGGACGCAUUCAUUCAUUUGCUUCUUGUAAUUCUUCUGUCCACAAGCUUGAUCAGAUAUGCUUGCAAUAAAUUUAAAAAAAAUUACCAGCAGAUAAAACAAUGUACAUCGGCCUGUUUCUUUGUCUUAGAGUGCAUCCGCGAUUUAUCAAGUCCUCUUCUUUGUGAUACAAACCAAGAUAGGUAGCAUAUCAGCCUACGCUCUGGACAAAGCAGCUAUGUUCUAACAUGUUUGAUUGACUUCUUGCUUGGACGUGCCUUUUUUUCAGGAAAGCCUAAAGAAAUGUUCUUUGUUCAGAGGAAAAAUGUCACUGCAUUAGGUCUUAAACAUUUCGUAAAAUUUUUUUUUUCCAUAUCGACGAGGUUACCAUUGCACGCAUUACAUGCUGAGAGAGUUCUUACAUGGAUUUUAAUUUAUGGUUGCAGGCUUUGGUAAUUGAAGCGACCGAGUUGUAAUUCAUCAUUUUCUAAUAUGAUAUAUGUUUUCAUUUUACUCAUGCUGCCACAGCUAGUCUCAAGCGGUGAGGCAGAAAUUGGUUGCAACGCAACUGUUGAAGGACACUUGAUGUGUACGUUUCCAGAAAAUGUUAACAUUACAGAAACAGACUUCGGGGUAUACUUUUAUCCUGUUCAUGGUGGUGAAGAACCUCUUUUGGACUGUGGAUGGGUCAAUGCGCAGCUUCACUGCAUCAAACAGGAGGGAGUUGAGAGUAAAAGCCCAGUAAACCACACUGCUGUGAUCAUCAUACCCACAAGGAUUUUGGAGGAAAAUGGAAAGUACAGAUGUGUUAGUGACGGCCACAGGCAUAACACCAUUAAGCCAUGUCAGCUUUCUAGGAAGCAAGUUCGAUUUAAUGCUGCAAGGAUGCUGUCUGAUCUCUCCAAUGUAAUGAAUUGUGUGUACUUGGUGACUAUUUUACUGUUUUGUUAAAGAAAGUUCCUUUACAAAUACCUCACAACACUGAAAUGAAUUGUCCACACAUGCAGUAUAUCAUCUACAUCGAGUGCAUUUUGUGUGAGAGGAUAAAGAGCAGACCUAAGUUUAGAAGCGUCACAUGUUCCAUUUAUAUUAAGGUGACGGAUCAGCGGACUGCUUGAAAUAAUGCAUUUAUGAGACAAGUCUCAAGUCAUCCCGCAUCAAGGAAAUUUUGCACCAAAUUUGACUAAAUAGACAUUAAGAAGUAAAGAUGGGUGCAAAUCAACUAAAGGCAGCAUUUUGAAUAAGCAUUUUAUGAUCUUAACAUUUACACAAUCAAAAAAGCUUUAUAUAUAUAUCACCAUAUAUUCUCCGUCCACUCAUACAUUUUCCGUACAGAAUUGUCUUUGUGCAAAAAGCAAAUGAUUUUAUGAAACAAGAAGAGAAUGAGAAAAAAAUCAUUGAACGAAAUAUAAAAAGAAAAACUGUAAGGAAGCAAACAAAGAAGACGAAAGAGGGCCCUUGAUAGUCACUUACAUUUAAUGGUCAUUGUAAAAUUUCCACAAAAUGUAACACUCAUCCAAUUCAUUAAUGCAUAACAGUAUUUGUUCAACCGAUAUAUUUUUUAUAAUUUUUAAAACACAAGUAAGAAAAAUUUACAAACUAAAGCAUAAGCCUUUCUCAUUUUUGCAAUAAAACACGAAAGGCAA